GCUUGCUUGGUGGAUCAGUGGCGAACGGGUGAGUAACACGUGAGCAACCUGCCCUGGACUCUGGGAUAAGCGCUGGAAACGGCGUCUAAUACUGGAUAUGAGCUCCUUCCGCAUGGUGGGGGUUGGAAAGAUUUUUCGGUCUGGGAUGGGCUCGCGGCCUAUCAGCUUGUUGGUGAGGUAAUGGCUCACCAAGGCGUCGACGGGUAGCCGGCCUGAGAGGGUGACCGGCCACACUGGGACUGAGACACGGCCCAGACUCCUACGGGAGGCAGCAGUGGGGAAUAUUGCACAAUGGGCGGAAGCCUGAUGCAGCAACGCCGCGUGAGGGAUGACGGCCUUCGGGUUGUAAACCUCUUUUAGCAGGGAAGAAGCGAAAGUGACGGUACCUGCAGAAAAAGCGCCGGCUAACUACGUGCCAGCAGCCGCGGUAAUACGUAGGGCGCAAGCGUUAUCCGGAAUUAUUGGGCGUAAAGAGCUCGUAGGCGGUUUGUCGCGUCUGCUGUGAAAUCCCGAGGCUCAACCUCGGGCCUGCAGUGGGUACGGGCAGACUAGAGUGCGGUAGGGGAGAUUGGAAUUCCUGGUGUAGCGGUGGAAUGCGCAGAUAUCAGGAGGAACACCGAUGGCGAAGGCAGAUCUCUGGGCCGUAACUGACGCUGAGGAGCGAAAGGGUGGGGAGCAAACAGGCUUAGAUACCCUGGUAGUCCACCCCGUAAACGUUGGGAACUAGUUGUGGGGACCAUUCCACGGUUUCCGUGACGCAGCUAACGCAUUAAGUUCCCCGCCUGGGGAGUACGGCCGCAAGGCUAAAACUCAAAGGAAUUGACGGGGACCCGCACAAGCGGCGGAGCAUGCGGAUUAAUUCGAUGCAACGCGAAGAACCUUACCAAGGCUUGACAUAUACGAGAACGGGCCAGAAAUGGUCAACUCUUUGGACACUCGUAAACAGGUGGUGCAUGGUUGUCGUCAGCUCGUGUCGUGAGAUGUUGGGUUAAGUCCCGCAACGAGCGCAACCCUCGUUCUAUGUUGCCAGCACGUAAUGGUGGGAACUCAUGGGAUACUGCCGGGGUCAACUCGGAGGAAGGUGGGGAUGACGUCAAAUCAUCAUGCCCCUUAUGUCUUGGGCUUCACGCAUGCUACAAUGGCCGGUACAAAGGGCUGCAAUACCGUAAGGUGGAGCGAAUCCCAAAAAGCCGGUCCCAGUUCGGAUUGAGGUCUGCAACUCGACCUCAUGAAGUCGGAGUCGCUAGUAAUCGCAGAUCAGCAACGCUGCGGUGAAUACGUUCCCGGGUCUUGUACACACCGCCCGUCAAGUCAUGAAAGUCGGUAACACCUGAAGCCGGUGGCCCAACCCUGGGAGGAGC
rnacentral:rRNA from 1 species